rnacentral:lncRNA from 1 species
GGAAAAGAAGUGGAAAUGGAGUGUGACAUCUGUGGGAUAGCCUUCCUUUCAUCUCCAUGUUAGUUACAGGAAAACACCAUUCCUUCAUUAUUCUCUGUGUUAUCCAUGCAAUAAUUGCAGUUCAGGAGAAAGAUGGCCCAACAAUCUUCCUGGCUUUGAUCUGCUGAACUGAAGAUCCUAGUGGAUUAUAGUUGUAGAACAAAAAUGCCAACAUUCAACUUUCCAGAGUGUGACAAUCUGUGCUUUAUGCAGAGGAUCGUAUCCAUACAAAAACAGAAAACGACAGUGGAAGACACUCUGGAGGAGCAUAGAAUCAUAGAAUGAAUUAAGACCAUGGAUUUGGCGUUUGUCCUCGCCUUGUUGAUGCAGACUGUGCAGGAGAAUGCUGAGUUACAUGCAGCCAUGCUUGAACACCUGAAGCAGCGUGAGCUGUUUCUGCAAGAGAAGAUGGCACAGCUGCUGUUGGAGACAGAGCAGCAGAAGCUGGAACAGAGCAAGAUGGACAUGCAGGCCCUUCUCUUCACUGCACUGCAGUGUUGGGCCUUGGC